UACGUAGGGUGCGAGCGUUGUCCGGAAUUAUUGGGCGUAAAGAGCUCGUAGGCGGUGUGUCGCGUCGGCCGUGAAAACCUGGGGCUUAACUCUGGGCGUGCGGUCGAUACGGGCAUCACUGGAGUUCGGCAGGGGAGACUGGAAUUCCUGGUGUAGCGGUGAAAUGCGCAGAUAUCAGGAGGAACACCAAUGGCGAAGGCAGAUCUCUGGGCCGGAACUGACGCUGAGGAGCGAAAGCAUGGGGAGCGAACAGG
rnacentral:rRNA from 1 species